rnacentral:rRNA from 1 species
CACACCGCCCGUCACACCAUAGGAAGUUUACUGCACCAGAAGCAGGUAGCCUGACCGCAAGGGGGCGCCUACCACGGUGUGGUCAAUGACUGGGGUG